UCUGGGGAAAAAACAUGAUGAAAGAAAUCUGGUUAAUUAAUUUGCCUAGAAAACUUGCAAGUUCUAUGAUCUCAUCAUCACUGUUAACAAACUGGCUGACAUUAUUUUCGUUCUCAUUGCUAGUGUAUCAGUGUCUUGUCGUCAGCUAAUGCAUUAGCAGUGUGUGCCAGAUGACAUGUUAGCCAAAGUUAAUUGAGCAAUGCCUCAAUGGGAUCAGAUUGGUUUCUUUACCACAAGUCUAAGUAAUACCUUUAUAUCCGAUCUGAGGUUGAUCUGACUGGUCUGUUGUGGUUAAUCAUCUCUUGUGAAGAUGGCAAUAGAAGAAAACACCAUCAGCUUGAUGACAGGCUUGAUGAAAGCUUGCAAUGUUAUCCACUGAUGCAACUUGUCAACUGUGGAUGGGGUAAAAAAAAAAAGGUGCUAAAAAUUAAUGUCUGGAAAGCAAUGUCGUUUUUUGUAAUCAGAAAUUUGUUACAGAUUUCUAAGUCCAGAAAUGAAUAAAUUUGCAAACAGUGUAUGAUAUAUCUAUAUAAAUGAAAAAUGGAUGUAGAUUAUUAUUUUAAGUUUCAGCUAAUUGUUACAGAGCUAAUUGUUGGGACCAUGUCAAUUAAUUGAUGUUUUGGUUUUCAUUUUAAUAACAAGGGCUGAGCUCCAAAAGGAAGGAGACAAGGCAAUCCAAUUCACAUUUUCUACAUUUAAACUGCAUCAUGUACAGAACAGUACCUUGUUGACUGUCAUAACCAUGAUUUUGUCCAUCUUGAGUGCUCUGCAUGGGAUUUAGAAUCCAGCCAAUAAAGUUGUUGAUCUGACUCAAAGCUGCUUGUUCAAUGGGUGACAUGACUCACAACUCAGUUAAGCCUUCAGCCUGCUUGUCCAACAUGAUUGAUCAGCUCAAUAACUGUGGUGUAGAUUCCUUGUCUUUUCUCUGGUUGCCUGUCCGAUGUGACUGACUGCACAGUGUUUACUGUAUUCUUUUUGGAUCAUGUUUACUGUAGGUAGUGUUCAUCAACACUACCGAUUGAUAUAUCGACCAACAGUCUGUUGAUAGCUGAUCCAAGUAUUGAACGAGUGUUGAGCAAUACCCAGCCAAUAUAUCGGCUGACAGUUGGUUGAGUGUCAGUUGAGUAUCGGUCGAGUGUUGGUUGGGCAUCAGUCGAGUAUCGGUCAAGUAAUGGCUGACUUAUUGACCAAAUACUCAACCAAUACUUGACAAACAUUUGACCAAUACUUGACUGACAUUCGACUGAUACUUGACGGAUACUCAAGCAACACUCAACCAACUGUUGGUCGAUAUAUUGGUUCAUAGUGUCAGUCAAUACCACCUACAGUAAACAUGAUCCUUCUUUUCUAUACCAUGCUGUAGAAAAUACAGCCAAACAGGAUACAGGAAAGUCCAGCCAUUGUAUAUUCAAUGGUAUUACACCCAACCUUCCCCUUGUGCGCUGCGCAUAUGUCAUAUUGAUUGUUUUGGCCUCUGUAUUUUCUAGGGCAUGGUAUAAAAUAGUUGUGCAAGGUUUUGAGUGGUAGACCAUGGAAUAUCCCACUUAUUGUCACUUGUGUUUUCUUGGUGUACACACUUGUCUAAAGGCUUAUGUGUAUUCCAAGAAAAAACGGGUGACUCGCGUGAUAUUCCAUGGUAUACAACUCACAAGUGUUAGUACUCAUACUACCAGCUGAUGUUUCUGCUACACAGAGGCACUGAGAGACUAGAACAUGCAAACUUUCUAGAACAUGUAGUAGUUUACUUUUUGAUGACAUGUGAUGCAAAUAUUAAAUAACUUUCUCAUGCAAAAUGCUGAUUGGUCAUGGCCUUCACAGAGUCUCACAAAAGCCUGAAUUUUACAUGCCUUGUUCCUGUUUGUUAAAAAGAAUUAGGGUUAGGUCCCCUUUAUGUUUUCCCGUUGUCCCAAAUGGUUUUUUAACUUAAGUCUUCCAGUUUCUCAAGGGAAAGAAAACAAUCCUACCAAGCACUCACACUUAGGUCAUUGGUUUCAAUCCUAUCAAAGUCAGAAUUUUAAAGGCGUGACCUCCUUUCCACUAGGAAGUUAUAAAUAAAUAAUUUAAUUACGUAAGGUGCAAAUACUUACACUUUUCUGAAAUAUCUUGAGAUGUUCCAAAGCAGAUAGUUGCCAGUGUCAGCGGGGAUACUCAGAAAUGGCAGACGGUGAUGUACAUGUACUUCCUUGUUGUGCUCCUUAUUGCAUCCAUCACUGGUGUCACAGGUAGACAUUUAAGUAAGGCAGUGCAUGUAAAAGUUCUCCCUGUAGGUAUCAUCUACAUGGUGCUUCCUUAUAGGUACAUCUUGGAUUUGCAGGUUAAUUGCAGAUGUUGACUGUUCUUUAAUUGCAUCCAUUAGCUGACGAAAAGGGAUGCACCUUGACCCACAGCAAAUCCAUGUUCAUCUGAAUGUAAAACCUAAGAGGUCUGCAUUUUGAGUAGGUUUUAACUGCUGGACAGAUUCAACUAGGCCAUAUUCAUGUGCACUAAAGGCAUCCGUGGUUGAUUGUCGAUCUAUGCUUUUGAUUGACAUCUCGAUCGAUACUCGAUCAACAUCCCAAUUGGUACUCGGUCAACACUCUAUCAACUGACUCAUAUCAAUCAAUUGAAAGUUAGUCGACUCUUGACUGACUGUUGACAGAGAUGUCGAUGUUGUGUCAAUCGAGUGUCAACCGAGGGUCGAUCGAGGGUAUCAAUUGAGGAUAUCAAUCAACACUCCAAGGUGGAUGCCUUUAGUGCACAUGAUCUGCUCCUUCUGGCUUCUGUACGACAGCUUGGUUAAGGUUGUUUAAUAUCCUGUCACAUUGGUCCAGUGGUUAGGAUGGUUUGAGCUUCGAAGUCUAUGAUUUGUACCAGCAUUGCUCGCAGAGGUCUGCUAGCUGAAGUCUGCACAGCUCUCCAACUGUUCUCAAGUGUCAUUCAAGGUUAAUGUGAGCUACCUGUAAAUACUAUAAAACACUCAAAUGAUAAUGUAAAUGUGUGUAAUUAAUUGAAAUUGGUGUGUUAUUUUACUUUCUUAACAGUCAAUCAUGUUUGUAUUUUCUGUACACUGUUGGGUUUUUUUCUGUGUUAUUUUUCCUCCAUACCAGACAAUUAACUGAUCACAAUUGCAUCAUUUUUAUACUGGUAAAAAAUGGGUGACUGCAUUAAUUUUGACUCCCACAACAGACAAUGCACUUAGCCUACUUGCAUUAUUUUUAAAAGGGUGUAUAAUUUUCCCUUCUCAGCAGGCAAUUAACCCUUUUUUGAAUUUUUUUAACUACUAGGUUGAUAAGAUGCCCUCUGUUUUGUUGUACUACACCUGUUUGGUCACAAUGGAUCUUUCCUGUGAUGCUGAUCAAAGUACAAGCAAGGCUUGUGGAGGUACGCUGUAGUCUUCAUGGCUGAUUAACUAUUGUGGUAAACUGUUCAAGGUUAGUGUUUGAAAUACCUCUGAUUAUCAAAUCCCUCAUAAUGCAAUCUUUCUAUCAAUUGACUCACAGUGCAUAGGUUUAUGCACUACUGAAAAACAUUUUUUGAUCCUCCAUAGACAUUUGAUUUAUGUUUCAAUCAUAAUACUCUACUGAAAAGUUAAGUUGUUUUUUUCCUGUUUUCAGAGACAAUUGAACCACAUCAGCCCGAUUUAUGCACUGCUGAAAAAUGAUCAGAGGAUCUGUUUCUUCAUGCCUGGAUUUGUCUGACAUUAAAAUUUCACCUGAAAAUGAGAUUGAUGAGUCAGGGAUUUGGAACACACUAGUAAGCUGCAAGGAAGAGGAAGCUGCAAGUUGAGUAUAAAGCAGAGAGUCACGGAGGAAAUGAGUCAGAGGAACAGGUCUCAACAAGUCUACUACAGCAUGGUAACUAGAGGCAAUUCUUGCAACUCCAGUUUUAUGCAGCAUCAUGAUGCAAAGCAUCAGCACAUCUGUAAAUUGAUAAAACCCAAGUGUUUUGUUUGGUCACCCACUUUCCUCUUUGCUUCGACACGCUGACACAGCUCCAUUGCCACAUUGCAGUUCUGGCUCCUCUUCAAUGUGAGCAAAUGUCCAGUCCAGUUCCAUCUUCCCCUUUGACCUCAUGACUGAUCUUUUCAUGCCUGUUAUUUAAGAUAUGGUACUCCUUCUAACAAGUUUUGGCCACCAUACUCUUAGGAUCUUUGUCAGGCACGUCAAAUGGAAUCUAUCCAGCCUCUUCUCUUUCCUUAUUGUUAUUUUCCAGUCUUCACAUCCGUACAAAAGUACUGGCUACACAGUUUAAUUCUCCUGUUCCAACCAAUACUCUGUGUUUUCCAGAUGUGAGUCAGGUUGAAAAAAAACAUGUGCCUUGUUUAGAUGUUUCUUGAUCUCAUCCAUGCCUCCGCCAUCCUUGGUCACAGUCGCACCUAGUUACACAAACUCUUUCAUGUCUUCCACUUUCCUCAUUUUCAAUCUUCUACCUUCUCUCUGUUCAUUCACUCUCAUCACUUUCCAGUUUCCACCAUUCAGCUUCAGUCCCACUCUUCCUGCAUAUUCUACCAGCCAGUCUUGCUCUGUACUUUAAUGAAGCAAAGACUAUACUGUCAGAAAAAUCAAAAUCUUUAAGAGUUGUUUUGAGUCAUUUCUUUGGGCUUCGGUUGUUCUUGAAAUCAUGUAGUCAACCUCAAGCAACAACAGGGACCCUGACAUGAAUGCAACCUUUUCAAACACCAGUGGUGAUCUUGAGCCAUCUUGUCUGUUCUCCUUCAACAAGUACUGUGCACUCUAAGUCAUUGUGCCUGAUCUUUACCAUUCUUAUAAAAGAUGCCACUGGCGUUCAUGAUUCUCCAUGGCCCUUGGCAGUGCAUUGACAAAAUUCAUCGACCUGCUCCAUGAUUUUGUGGAGGAUAAAUGUUUGUUUGACUGUGCUUUCAAAAACCAGUUCGUUUCUUUUCAAGGGCACUAUCUACUCAGUGUUGGAUCCUCUUAAUGACUACCACCGUUACUUUCCUAUCUGCAGUUAGCUGCAUUACACCUGCCAGUUUUUACACUCCUUCAGAUCUUUUUGAAGUGGCUUAAGUAUCCAUCCUUUCUUCCAUUUGUCUGGUACCUGCUCAUGUCAUAUCUUGUUAAAUAAUCUUGUCAGUUCUUUUACUACCACACUGCUAUCUGUUUUCUACAACCCAGUUGUGAUCUCAUCAAUUUCUCGUCAUCUAAUCCUCUGUCCCAUGGGAGAAUAGGGCAUCCAUUAUUGUCUUCCAUUUAUGUGGGUCUUGUGCCAACCUUUUGGCCUUUCACUUACAGCUCCCAACUCAUCAUGAGGUGCCCAUCAAUUUCUGGGUGCCUUUCCACUAUUUUUCUUCAGCACUGGCCUCACCUCUGCUUCUCUUAAAUGGGUCGCGCUCAUCUUGCCAAUUUUAUCUGUCUCCACCUUGUGCUCUUCAAUUGGGUCGUCACACCCUCUGUAACAAAUACCUCCACAUUGUUGAUUCAGCCCUAUUAGAGUCAGGCAUCUUUUUGUUUACUUACCCCACCAUUCUCCUUUUUGAUUACUGCAACUUGUCAUUUCUUCUUCUCUGAGAUUUUCCUCACUGCCUUGCACUAUUCUCCAGAACUCCCUUCCAAGCUGUUGUUUCUGCUUAACUCCCUGGCUGUUCUCGCAAUCAAGACUCUCUUGUCCUCUCUUGCUCUGCUCACAAACUCUUCCUCAUGUAUACUUUGCUACACUCUGAAGAUCAUGCCAUCUUGUUUCGCUAGACUAAUGGUGUCCUUCGUUCGUACAAAGCUGACCUAAACAUCGCUUAUGACUUGAUCUUGCUUUGACUACCAUGAACUGGAUUGAAGGCUGCUGACUGUUAAGAUCUUGUAGAGGCUUUCAUCACUGCAUUCAUGGAAAUCUAGUUGGAAUAUAAUUUGGCUUGACCAAUCAUUUCUUCCUUCAACACAACAUGAAACAACAAGUACAUGAAAAAAACAUGUCUCAGAAUGGAGAGAUCAGACCCGUCGUAAUUGCUCUUUCAGUUUACCAUUUUGUUGACAGAGUUGAUUACCAUCUCUAAGAGAUUGAGCAAAAGUCCACUAGGGCACACUAGUGUAAUUGAAGUAGGUUGUACUGAAGCCUCAGUCAAUCUUGAGUUUUGAUGUACACAACGUUGACCAGUUACACCUUGCAAUAUUGAAUGAAAAACCUUGCCGCCUGUGAUUCUGGUCAUUGCAGCCUCACCAAGGCAUCCUGUUUAGCUGUUUUCAAGUUAUAACAAACUGUUGUAGAUCUCCAAAUAGUUAAGGACAUGCUCAACCAUACAGUGCAUUGAGGACAAUUACUCACUUUUCUAAACAGGGCUAUUUCACUUGGUAUCUCCAGACUAAUGUUUAGAAUCACUUUUUAAGGUCAAAGUCACAAGCAGUUGGGGUUGGGGAUGUAAGCUUGGACUUCUGGAGAAGAUU